rnacentral:piRNA from 1 species
CCGGUGUCUAAGAGAGAAAGGAAGCCUAGC